CAGCCGCCACGGUAAUACGAAGGGUGCAAGCGUUAAUCGGAAUUACUGGGCGUAAAGCGUGCGUAGGCGGUGAGUUAAGUCUGCUGUGAAAUCCCCGGGCUCAACCUGGGGACUGCGCUUGAUACGGUCGAGCUAGAGGAUGGAAGAGGGUUGUGGAAUUCCCAGUGUAGAGGUGAAAUUCGUAGAUAUUGGGAAGAACACCGGUGGCGAAGGCGGCAACCUGGUCCAUUACUGACGCUGAGGCGCGACAGCGUGGGGAGCAAACCGGAUUAGAUACCCCCGUAGUCCCUGUCUCUUAUAC
rnacentral:rRNA from 1 species